rnacentral:sRNA from 1 species
AGAGGUAGCUUCUUUCCCCACCACUUGGUGUGAUGUUUUACAGUUUACAAAGCAUUUAUAUCCACAGAUGCCUCAUUUGAUCCUUACUGCGACCUUGUGAGGUUUGGUCCUUGUUUUUCAAGGUGGCUGGGAUGAGCGCUUGGGCGCCUCAGGUGCCUGUAUAACCCACUCCUCCCUACCAAAGAGGGCAUCUUCCUACAAAUGAGGACCCUGGAGCACUGACCCUGCGUAUCCCGCUCAAGACCAUGCAACUGGUUAGUGUUGGAGCUGGGGGUGUUUGAUUCCAGAUUGGAAGCCCUUACGUACUAUCCCAGCCUUCGGAUGCUGACUGGGACGACUUGUGGGACCAGUUUGAUGAGCGGCGGUAUCUGAAUGCCAAAAAGUGGCGCGUUGGUGACGACCCCUAUAAGCUGUAUGCUUUCAACCAGCGGGAGAGUGAGCGGAUCUCCAGCAAUCGGGCCGUCCCGGACACUCGCCAUCUGAGAUGUACGCUGCUGGUGUAUUGCACGGACCUUCCACCCACUAGCAUCAUCAUCACCUUCCACAACGAGGCCCGCUCCACGCUGCUCAGGACCAUCCGCAGCGUAUUAAACCGCACCCCUACUCAUCUGAUCCGGGAAAUCAUAUUAGUGGAUGACUUCAGCAAUGACCCUGAUGACUGUAAACAGCUCAUCAAGUUGCCCAAGGUGAAAUGCUUGCGCAAUAAUGAACGGCAAGGUCUGGUCCG